rnacentral:lncRNA from 1 species
UAGAUUUAGAUCAUAAAUAAAAUAAAGAGGCCAUGAAAACUCUGGGCGAUGAUGGAGGGAUUAAGGGGAGUAUGGUGUUGGAAUAAGAUACAGAGGAGUUUUCUUAUGGACUGUGAGACCGUAAACUUCGGACAUGUCCAAGGUCUCAGCCAAUUUACUGCCACCACUAGGCAACUUCCAGUCGAACCAAAACAGGAUGUUAGCAAGCACAUAUUCAGCUGAAGCAACCCCAAAGGCGAGUCCAGGACACACCCUUCUCCCAGCGCCAAAUGGGAUCAGCUCAAACUCCUGACCUACGAAACCAACGGAGUUCUCCUCGAACCUCUCUGGCAUAAACUCAUCUGGUUUGUCCCAUACUUUGGGGUCUCUUUGUACAGCGUAUGCAUUCACAAACACCUGUGUUUUCGCAGGUAUAUCGUAACCUCCCAAUUUUACAUCUGACAUUGCCUCCCGAGGAAGUAAAAGAGGCGCUGGAGGGUGAAGUCUUAAAUUUUCUUUGAUCACACAUGUCAUGUAUUUCAUUUCCUUGAUGUCACUCUCCUCUACGUAUCCCCUUCUCCCCGCCACUCUUCUUACCUCUUCUUGGACUUUCUUCAUCACCCGUGGAUUUUGCAAAAGCUCUGACAUUAACCAUAUCGCUGCUGUCCAACUAGUAUCACUUCCACCCACAAACAUGUCCUAAAAUCAUAAAAUCAACAAGCCAAAUCAAUCUUCAGCCUCAUAUAUAUUUAUCAAUGUGACUAAAGCUAGGGAGGGGGGAGAGGGGGAUGGGGGAUAUACAUACCUGCAGAAUUGCUUUGACAUUGGAGGUAGUGAGCUCAAAGUCGAGUGAGCCGUUCUUUUGAACGUCGAGGAGAAUAUCCACAAUAUCCUUCUUCCGAGGCUUACCUUCUUUCUGUGCUGCCUUAUGUUCGUCAAUCAACUUAUCGAAAAAUUUAUCAAAUUCUAACCAAAUGGAUUUCAAAUACGCAAGGUAGCCUCUGGCACGGUCAAUCCAUUUCAAAGAAGGGAAGAAAUCUCCAAAGCUGAAACUCAUCACCUGAGUCAUCAACUCCUUUGUGGUCUCUCCAAACCAAUUGUCUUCUUUGUCCUCAAACUUCUGUCCAAGAAUGCACCUGCAGAUAAUGUUGUUGGAGGUUGACACCAGCAGCUCCCCAAGAUUAAUGGGAGCCCCGUUCGCGCUGGCGGAGGCUUUGCGAAUCUUGCUGACCAACUCUGCAACUUCCUCCAUCCUUGCGUACUGAAACUGGUGCACUCUUUUGAGACUCAGAAGCUCAAGAACACAAAUUCUUCGAACUUGUCUCCAGUACUCCCCAUAAGGAGCAAACGCAAUGUCAUGGCCGUCGUAGAACAAUAUACUUGGAGCCGUGGUUUGAGGCCGGCUGCAGAACACAAUGUCUUGGGUCUUCAUCACGUCCUUGGCCAUCUCUGCAGAUGAAACAAUCAGCGUUGGAACUUUUCCUAAGUGCAGAAGCAUAACAUCGCCAUACUUCUUCGAGAGAGCUUGAAGAGAGCGGUGUGGGAAUGAUCCUAGCUGGUGAAGGUUCCCAAUCCAAGGCAGCCUUGGUGGGGAUGGUGGCAGUUUGAUUUUCUGGUUUUUCCCACUUGAUGAGGAUGAUCUUGUAAGUGCAAACAAUAUGAAUAUUGAAAGGACGAGAAGAGGAAGCAGGAAAAGAUUGCUCUGUAGUUGCUGCCACAUUUGAUUGAAAAGUGAAAGUACCGCCAUUGCUUUAAUUUUGGGUUGCCAGUUGAAAUCUGAGGGCCUUCUUCUUCUUAUUUAUAGAUAAGUUGUCCAGCUUGGGAGCCCACACUUAUUGAAACUUUCAAUUACGCCUGCGUCAGAGGUCGGUUGUAAUUGUCAAAUAGAUAUAAUUUUUUAUUCAGAGCAAGGGUUGAUUUCAAUAUAAUGUCGAUAUAAAUAUUUGAGAUAUUUGUUCAAAAUGGUGGUCCAAGAUUUUCAAACACCAUUUCAAAUCAACAAAUUCAAUUGCUAAUUUUCAACCACUCAAAUUAUUUGUGAACAUGUCUGGUAAUUUUAUCUAUGUAGUUUGAUUUUAUUGUAAUUUAAAGAUAUCAUUUGUAAUGAAAUGAAAUUCUUUGCACGAAGGGCUGGCUUUAACUUCAAUUUUGGCAAUUUGAUCUCUGUAGUUUGAUUUUAUUGCAAUUUAAGGAUAUGCUUAAAUUUCCAUCUAAUUUCUUAACGAAAUAAACAUGUGUCUCUUAGUUGGAGGGGUAUUUCUGAUUGAAUUUAGAUGUUAAAUUGACAAAAUUAAAACUACAGAGAAUAAAAUGAAAAAACUGGUAAACUACAUAGGAACCAAAAGUUACAUAAUGACAGAGUUCGGUUAUGCUACAGUUAUCACACUCGUGGAGACAAUAAUUAUUGUCUGUGGAGGGAUACAUUUGAUGAGUUAUGUGUUUAGUUUCUGUUGGCUUUAAUUCCAACUGUGAUGUUAGUAAUGUAGCUUAGGAGGAUUACAAUACUGGAAUUUUAUUUUCAUAGGAAUUAAAUCAGAGAUUAGUCUUUUCUCAACUUGUCUUCCUUUCCUGCAUGGAAUUUUUUCAGAUUUUUGUUUCGCUUAUUUUGGUAAGCAUGACAAGGUUAGAUUCGUCUUCACGUACACUUAUGACAACCGUCCUCGGCCCCAUCCAAAUCCGACCACAUCAGAAUUCGAGCCGGCACAUCCUCGUGGACCAGAUUUAGCCGUAGCAUAUCAAGGGAAGAUAAAAGUUAGAAUUAAAGCCAACACAACAGAGAGAUGUUGUCAUAGCAUCAAGGGAAGGAUGGAGGGCAGAGAGAGAGAGAGAGAGAGAGAGAGAGAGAGAGAGAGCCAUGCAUGCACGCAUUCUUUUGAAGUUGCAGAAGAAUUAAUAUCCACCAGAUGUCGUCUUCCACAAUUAUUGAAGCUUGCAAUUAAGCCUGCGCCAGAGAUUUGGUGUAAUAGUGAAACUGCUACAAAUUGACAAUAAGUAUCGGGUCCACCAGGAUGUCUUCUUCCACCAACCUACUAUACGACAUGGCAAAAAAAUUUCUGGAUGUGUUGGGAAAGAUUCUGACAUUGCCCCCUUUUGAUGGUCCAAGAUUUUCCCAUUUUGGAUGAAAAAUUUUCAACCCAUUUUGGAUAACAAAGACAUGCUGGUUUUCAGUUCCAGUUUUGUCGUAAUUAAUUGCAUGCACACAACUACUCGCCGCAGUUGCCGCUUUUAUCUUCUUCACCUUACUAUUGCACCAUUGAGAAAUUAUAGAACAUUACAGUAGAAUGGUCAUUUCAAAAGUUUCUUCUCUUUAUGUAUUUACUAGUGACAAACCGUUCUCGGCCAUUCCAAAUCCGAUCGACCACAUCACAAUUUGAGGCACAACCUCAUGGACCCGAUGUAUAUGUAGACGUAAUAUCCACCACCAACUUAAGAACCAAGCCUACUCUUCUUUGAUCAAAAUCUGCUGCAAAUCUAUAAUUUGCCAUUGAUCUUAGAUUUUUCAGUUAUAGGUAAUGUCGAUAAAAGUAAUGAUAAUUGCUAUAUUUACAGAUUUCUGGAAAAUAAACAUAGAAUUUAAAUUCGAAACAAGGGAAGAUGUUGCCGUGGUAUCAAGGGCAGAGGGAGAGGUGUAGGAUCGCUUUCCAGGUAGUCUUGAGUGAGCUCAGAGUCUGAGCCAUGCAUGCCAUGCCAUGCCAUGCUUUUAAACUCAAAUAAACACGUUUUUUGCCUGCUACCGCAAAAACUGGUCCAUGAGGUUGUGGACCAAAGUCUGAUGUGGUCCGGCUUUGAAUUGGCCGACGACGGUUGUUACGUGAAGACAAAAUCUAACUUCUUCAUGCUUCUUACCAAAAUAAGAUAGACAAGCCAUGCAUGAAGACAAGCUGAUUUAUUUCCCUUCUAUUUUGGUCCAGGCCUAAUCACAUUGACUGCCUAUGUGAAAAAUUAAAAUGAAAGCAUAUGUGAAGGAUUAUUGUCACCCAGCUGAUUUAAAACCUACACGAUCUAAGGACUCAACCAUCAUGAUGCAAAUUUUCUACCAUUCAUUCACAUAUGCAGUAUAAAUACAUAGAAAAUAGAAAUACUCUACUUGUUGAAUCAUCAUGAUCCAUUAAAUGUACCAAUCAAUGGAUCAUGAUGACCCAACAAUGAAUGUAUCAUAACUGAACCCGUCAUAACGAUGAAUUAAGGUGUCAUUAUAUUGUAAGCUUUUGGAAUAGUGGGACAGAGAGAAAAAAGUAAAAUAAUAAAUAAAAUGGUGACCAUGAAAAAUUGUUUUGUGGGAUAAAGGAAUAUAUCGUGAAGAAGCAACAAUUGAAAAUAGAGUGCAAGUCAGCCCUUGAAGUUGUGUUGUGUGCAAGCAAUUAAGCAUAUACUUGUGAAGCAGCAAUGACAUAAAUUAGAGCACUUCCAGCGGCGAGGGGAAGCUCGGCAGGAGAGGGCUUAGGCCCGCGUGAUGGCUUCAGCGCCCAAGGCCAAGCUUGGGCAAGGUGUGGGGCCCACCAACCUGGGCAAGCCCAUAGGCAAAUUCAACAUGUGCUGCUGCUUGGGCAAGUGACGUAAUGAUGACAUCAGUAGUCAGUUAAAAUAAUAAUAAUAAUAAAAUUUAAAAAGAAAAAAAUACCAAAAAAUUCAGAAUUUUUUAUUUAUAAAUAUCAAACCAUAGUCUUUACUUGCAACGCCAAAACCCUAUCAAAAUUAAUCUUUUAUGCAUAAAAAAUAAAAAUAAUUUAAAGUGAAUAAUAAUUGCCAUUUGUCAUGGCAAUGAGUGGAAAUACACUUUGCCUUUUGCAAGGGUUAGCAUUAUUCAUGUGAAUAGUAAUAGACCUUACCUCCCCUUGCUCUUUGCCAUGGCAAAUGAAUGAAAGUGCUCUUAAGUGCUGCAACAACAUGCGGGGUAGAUUUCAUUUCAACCAAUUCACAAAUAAUUUGUGUCAAAACUUAAAACUAGUAACUGAACUUAAAUGGUUUGUUUGAGAAUCUUGGACGACCAAAACAAGCUUACACGAUUUUGAACAAAAACAAUUAAGCUCAUUUCCUGUUGCCCCAUGUUGCAAGUUUCUUUUUGGGUCACACUCUGCCCCUCACCGUCAAAUUUGUCAAAACAUGUGUUAAAUAUGUUGACAUGAUGUGAAAGGGACCCAUUGUUCUGCUAAAAUACAUUUCACUUAAUCACCAUGUGUGCAAGAAUAAUAAUAAAAUUAUUUAACCAUUAAAAAAUAAGAUUGAUUAAAAAAAAAAAAAACUCCAAUUUCCCAUUUAGUAAAAUAUUGAAGGUAAUCUAACUUGACACGAUUCUAUGCCUUUACUCUUUAUAUAUUAGUAUAAGCAAUGGUCACACACACUAGUUGCACAGUGUUAUGGGUGUUUAAACUUGGAACCCCUCGUCUACAAGUUAAGAUCAUUUUUCAUUAAGAUACAAAAGUAGUAUAAAAAAAUGUAUUGCAUGUGACAAAACUCUAUGGACUUUUUUUUCGUUAACAUUACAACCUAGUUGUGGGCUUUAAUUAUUAGUCUCAUCCAGAGCAAAAUGGGUGAAGGUACCUUGCACAGGUUUUGGAAUGCCGGGACACAGAAAAAAGGGAAAUAGUUGCCAUAAAAAUUGUCCGGGGGCGGGCCGUGGCCGGGGCCGGGUGGGGUGGUGUAUUGUAAGUAUGAGAUUAAUUUGUGAUGGAUUGAUUUUCUCAAGAAAAACAAUUACCGCUCAUUUCCCAUUGACCUUGUCCUUGAGAUUGGCCGACAACUGUUGGAAUUUGUAGCAUGUGUGUAGUAAAACCUAAGCUAGUCUCUUUCAAUCACCCUAAAAGCACUCACUAUGGCCGGGGUGAUAUCUUUUUUAAUUUUUUGCUUGUAAAUGGUGAUAAUUAUAAGUUAAAUUGGUUUUGUUUUUCUUUGUCAGAGCUGUUCAGAGGGUGCAGCCUCGCGAGAGAGUAUCAGACCUGUUCAGAAACUUGCUCGUCUUCAGGUUUGUGUUAAAUACCUGAAUGAAUCAAACAGUUCUGUGUGAGUAAUAAUUCUGCAAGCUCUGCUAUAUGUACACAUGGUUCUUCCAUACACAACUGAUACCAAAUUAUUUUCAAAGUAUCAGUCAGGCCAUUAUACCAAUCAAUUGGGUCUUUAGUUGGUACUCGUUUAUCUCUCCUUUCAUUUCACCAUAUCCAUUUUAUCUUGAGAUCUUCAGGAGAAACUACAAUUAAAUGCUUUUUCAAAUAGCCAAAUAAGAGAAACAAAAAUCUGAUUUUCCAUGCAUGAGGACAAGCUGAGAAGGCAAAUCUCUGGUUUAUUUUAGGCUAAAACUUAGACAAAUUCAAUGUCGAGUGCUUCCGUGUCAAAACUAUCAUCAUUAGUUGCCUAACUUGCCUGACUUUGCAGAGAAAAGGGAAGACUAGACACUCUUGAUGGCGUACCAACAUGUCAAGGACGAACCUGAAGCAAACACAUUGUAUCUAGAUACAUGCGGCAACAAUCAUGUGUGGUAGUAAGUCAUCUUUUCAUACUACUUUAUGUUUUAUAGUGACAACUCUUCAGUGAAAUAAUCCAUUUUAUGUUGAGAUGUUCACAAGAAACUACAAUUAAAUGCAUUUUCAAAUAGCCAAAGAUGAUUACAACAUCUCAGAGAUAUAUCACUCUGUAAUUAUUAUUAUUAUUAUUAUAAAUAUUUAUGUUGCUGCAGGCAUUGCAGAUACAACUUCUUGCUCAACAGAAAACAAACAAAAAAAAAACUAGAUUUAGAGCAUAAAUAAAAUAAAGAGGCCAUGAAAAUUCUGGAUGAUGAUGGAGGGAUUAAGGGGAGUAUGGUGUUGGAAUAAGAUACAGAGGAGUUUUCUUAUAGACUGUGAGACCGUAAACUUCGGACAUGUCCAAGGUCUCAGCCAAUUUACUGCCACCACUAGGCAACUUCCAGUCGAACCAAAACAGGAUGUUGGCAAGCACAUAUUCAGCUGAAGCAACCCCAAAGGCGAGUCCAGGACACACCCUUCUCCCAGCGCCAAAUGGGAUCAGCUCAAACUCCUGACCUAUGAA